rnacentral:rRNA from 1 species
AUUGAACGCUGGCGGCAGGCCUAACACAUGCAAGUCGAACGAGUGGCGGACGGGUGAGUAAUGUCUGGGAAACUGCCUGAUGGAGGGGGAUAACUAAUGGAAACGGUAGCUAAUAACGCAUAACAUCAGAUGUGCCCAGAUGGGAUUAGCUAGCUGGUGGGGUAACGGCUCACCAAGGCGACGAUCCCUAGCUGGUCUGAGAGGAUGCACAGCCACACUGGAACUGAGACACGGUCCAGACUCCUACGGGAGGCAGCAGUGGGGAAUAUUGCACAAUGGGCGCAAGCCUGAUGGAGCCAUGCCGCGUGGAUGAAGAAGGCCUUCGGGUUGUAAAGUACUUUCAGCGGGGAGGCGUUACCCGCAGAGUAAGCACCGGCUAACUCCGUGCCAGCCGCCGCGGUAAUUC